rnacentral:tRNA from 1 species
GAGGGUAUAGCUCACGUGGUAGAGCGUGUGCUUAGCAUGCACAAGGUCCCGGGUUCAAUCCCCAGUACCUUCU